CCUACGGGGGGCUGCAGUGGGGAAUAUUGGACAAUGGGGGGAACCCUGAUCCAGCCAUGCCGCGUGUGUGAAGAAGGCCCUCGGGUUGUAAAGCACUUUCAGUGAGGAAGAACGCCUGGUGGUUAAUACCCAUCAGGAAAGACAUCACUCACAGAAGAAGCACCGGCUAACUCCGUGCCAGCAGCCGCGGUAAUACGGAGGGUGCGAGCGUUAAUCGGAAUUACUGGGCGUAAAGCGCGCGUAGGUGGCUUGAUAAGCCGGUUGUGAAAGCCCCGGGCUCAACCUGGGAACGGCAUCCGGAACUGUCAAGCUAGAGUGCAGGAGAGGAAGGUAGAAGUCCCGGUGUAGCGGUGAAAUGCGUAGAGAUCGGGAGGAAUACCAGUGGCGAAGGCGGCCUUCUGGACUGACACUGACACUGUGGUGCGAAAGCGUGGGUAGCAAACAGGAUUAGAUACCCGGGUAGUC
rnacentral:rRNA from 1 species